UACGUAGGGUGCGAGCGUUGUCCGGAAUUACUGGGCGUAAAGAGCUCGUAGGUGGUUUGUCGCGUUGUUCGUGAAAACUCACAGCUCAACUGUGGGCGUGCGGGCGAUACGGGCAGACUGGAGUACUGCAGGGGAGACUGGAAUUCCUGGUGUAGCGGUGGAAUGCGCAGAUAUCAGGAGGAACACCGGUGGCGAAGGCGGGUCUCUGGGCAGUAACUGACGUUGAGGAGCGAAAGCGUGGGGAGCGAACAGG
rnacentral:rRNA from 1 species